ACUUGAAUUAAUCUAAAUCAAAAGAGUAAAUAAAACCUCAAGGCAAACCAGACUGUGGCAGGCCUUUGACAUGAAAUUUUGAGCUCGAGUGAUAAAAGAUUGGCAAAGAUUCCAGCAAGUCUUGGCAUCAGGGCAGAGCUGCAGCACCAACUCUGAGAGCCACGUUUGACUGCUGGAAUGACCUCAUAGUGUUCUGCAGCCAAAGAAAGUGAGAUGAGACAGGGAUAUUAAAGAUCCCCAAAAAUAUGGAAUAACCCCUUCAAGGCUCUUCUGUGCUCCCCUCGGGACAAGAAAACACUGCUUGGUUCAGCUUUGCAUCAGCACAACUCUUCCUUCAGCACAUCCUUUGGGACAGAUUGGAUACUUAGUUUGGAUUUGUUAACAUUGCUGGUCAUAAAAAUGUCUGCUUCAAAGAAACUGAUAGAUACUGUCCUUAGGAAAUUGGGCUUUGAUGCCUUAUUUGAUUUCCAUGGCAAAGUAAGUUCAUGCUUUCUUUUUUGGAAAAAUGAGGUACUGUACAGAGCAAGCUGA
ensembl:lncRNA